GCUGCAUGACGCAAACACUCAACAACAUCUAAACAAGAUUUUUAGUGCUUUUUAGGUGGUGGGUGGGUGCAUUAGGACGUUAAAUGCCACAUCAGCAACAUUAGGAGGAUCAUGAAAAAAAGACAGACACAAGCAGCCAAUAAAAAAACAGUUAAUGUAAAAACUUUCUUUGUUUUUGCUGCUAAACUGGGUUCAAGCCCAGCUUGUUCAACCUGUUUGCUGCUUCAAACAUUUUUCUUGUUAUACAGGAAGAUUUUCUCAUUCUUCCAGACGGUUUUGAGUUUUUCAGCUGACUUCCCGCUCCAUCAGGGUGACAGACACAAACUAAGAGUUUAGAAGCACUUUUUUACUUCUUAAAGGAUAGAGGGAGCACAGAAAGACGAAGAAGCCAAUGUUUUAUCAACACAUUCUGUAAAGGAAAACAGUAAAGUUGGUCCAUCUUCAGGUUGGUUUACUUUUUUUAUUUAAAUCUAUUUUUAAAUGUAUAGUCAGAAGAGUCCCAUUUGUAUUUUUAAAUUCAAAAGUCAUGAUGAAACUUGUCAUUUAAGAUGUGUUUUCUUUUUGUCAAAUUUAAUAAAAAUUUAGCUUGCACAAAAAGAAAAUGUUAAUAUUUUUAAUAUCCAAAACCCACAGAUCACACAAAAAAUCACCGAUCGUACAUUCAUCAAGAAAAGGAGGAAAGACGAAAAUGAGAGGAAGAAGAACAUCUUUGAUCAUGUUAUUUCUAUUUCGGAUGGUCCUUUACGAUGAUCCACUCGCCUCAGCACAAAACUUCACAACAGUUGUGUCGACUGUUGAUACCACAACAAAGACUCCUCCAGUUCCUGGUUACCAAACUAUUCCAGCUAAUGUGACAGUGGCUGCGGGAGAACCUGUGGAGUUUAGAUGCGGAGUUUCCAAGGCAGCUCCAAACCUUACAUUGACUCUUUAUGGGAGCCAUGGAAACUACAGCCUCAAAUGCCCAGAUGGGCACAUAGAAGAUAUUCCCCAGGCUCUCAGUGGAAACUGUUACAUAAAGGAUGGGGAGUCACUGGCUGUGUGGACUAUGAAGGGAACGGCCUUCCCUGACAACGGCACGAGAGUCGUUUGUCAGCAGGAAAACAAUCCCAAAACACCUUCUGCUGUCCUGCAUCUUUAUGAUAAUGGCUCCAUGUACGCUGCUCUUAUUGGAUGCUGCGUCGGGGGCUUCUUUGGAAUCCUAUUGGUGUUCGGGCUGAUGUUCCUCAUUCUAAGAAAUUCUAACCUGCCUGUUCAGUGUCUCGAGAGAAGCCCAGAAGACGACUUGGAAGAUAUAAUAAAAGAAUAACAGAAGGCUUUAAAAAAUAUUUUGGCUUGGAAAAACCCAAUUUAAGUUUGUCCCGUUCUAUUACAAGGAUAUGGUGUAAAUAAAUAUGCAAAACGUUAACUGUAAAGUGAAGUGAAGCUGCAUGACAACAGUAACAAAAUGAUGCUUUUUUAAGCAUUCUUGGUGUAGCGUUUCUUCUUUUUCCUCGGUCUGUUAACUGCAGUUACGUAGUGUGUCCACUUGAGGGAAGCACUGAAAUAAAGACAAGUUCAUCAAAUAUUGCAAAUGGAAAACCAUGAUUUCUUAAGUCAAUUUUUAAUUUGUUUUUGGUUUGUUUCUUAUUUAAAAAAUAAAACAAAAAUGAUUAAAAUAAAAUGAAAAUUAGUUGGAACUAUGAGAAAAUAUAAUAAUAAAGGAAUAGGAAUAAGCAGGAUUGAAGUGAAAUCUUUCCUUUCUCUAGAAUUUAUCUUUGCAUGUUUUUUUUUUUGUUGUUUGUUUUUUUUGUGGGAGUUUAUAACAAAUAAUACAGUUUUUUUCAAGCUUUACCAAACACCAAUGACCUCACCCGGAAAGCUAAACACAAGGCAUAUUAAAACUUUUGUCAUUUCACAAUUGAUACUUUUUUGUCAAAAUUUUUGAAAUUUCUAGGUGACAAACUCAGUUGUAAUCUAACCCACAACAGAAUGGUCCUUCAAAUGAAGCCUGCCUGUUCAGCAGCGUGUGAAGGACACAAAGGAGAAAACAGCCUGUAAAUAAGCAUGCGCGUAGAGUUGCUCAUGUGACCUCACGUCUCAGCUUCCCCUUGGCGAUGACCGCAAAUCUCAGCUAGUGUCAAGAGCAGUGCAUGUUAUUUACUGUUAUCUGCUGUCACACAAAACAUAACAGGAACUCCAGGAUGAAACUACAGCUGGGUGGGACGUGUUUUGUUUGGAGCAUCUUGCAAUAAAGUAUUUGAAAUUUGAAGUGAUGUUUGCGUUCGCUUGGUUGAUUAUGACAUAUUGUAACGUAGACAAAUAAAACACAGAAGUGUCACAUGUUAACACA
ensembl:lncRNA